AAAAAAAAACCAAAAAAAAUGAAGAGAGAAGAAUCCAGCUGU
rnacentral:sRNA from 1 species